AUCAUUUAAAGAAAGCGUAAUAGCUCACUGGUCGAGUCGGCCUGCGCGGAAGAUGUAACGGGGCUAAACCAUGCACCGAAGCUGCGGCAGCGAACGUAUCACUUAAAGCGAUUCAGCGGGUUACGAUUGACGGAGCGAAGCGACGUCAAAGCGUAUACAAAGUCGAGUCGGUUUAAGGAUACGUUCGUUGGGUAGGGGAGCGUUCUGUAAGCCUGUGAAGGUGGCCUGUGAGGGUUGCUGGAGGUAUCAGAAGUGCGAAUGCUGACAUAAGUAACGAUA
rnacentral:rRNA from 1 species